UACGAAGGGGGCUAGCGUUGCUCGGAAUCACUGGGCGUAAAGCGCACGUAGGCGGACUCUUAAGUCGGUGGUGAAAUCCUGGAGCUCAACUCCAGAACUGCCUUCGAUACUUAGAGUCUCGAGUCCGGUAGAGGUGAGUGGAACUGCGAGUGUAGAGGUGAAAUUCGUAGAUAUUCGCAAGAACACCAGUGGCGAAGGCGUCUCACUGGCCCGGUACUGACGCUGAGGUGCGAAAGCGUGGGGAGCAAACAGG
rnacentral:rRNA from 1 species